UACCAACACCAAAACCCCACCAAAAUCCCCUUCCCUUAGCCCCAGUAUACUAAAACCCCACGCCCCAACUGGCACCUCGACAUCACUAAAUCCUUCCAUUCUCAGCCCUUGAUCCCUUCCUCCACCAUCUUCACCCCAUCUCAAAUCCUCCUCCUAAAACCCUCCUCCAACUGCACCACUUUCCAAACCCUAGCUUCCUACACCUGUUCGCUCCCUCGAUCUCCCCCCUUCCCUUCACAUCAAGCUUAUUUUCUCUGUUAAUAUCCGAACAGACUUUCCCCCAAAAUCCCUCGCAGCUAUUACGGGAAUGCCAUCGUUCUCGGAUGUGCCCAGUCUUCAGUCAACCAAUUGACCCUUGCGCAUGACUUAAACACCGUCGUUCGCUUGGUCCAAAACGCCAAAUCCAUCGUCGAUGACGAUUACGUCAAGUCCAUGAUCUUUCAGCUAAAGGACAAAAAGUCUCCAAGCCGACUUGUCGGCCACUUUGGUUAUAUCGAAUUGGACGAAAUUGGGAUUACAGGACUUAGAUUUUGGGUCAGGGAAGCCUCUUAAAAUGAGCCCUUUGGCUAGCCAUGUCUUCUGCUUGUUUUUGCCAGUGAUUGGAGAUGUUAAGGCAAUGGGAGUUCUCGUGUCACUUCCGGCGAAUGUGGUUGAGAAGUUCGAGUAUUAUUUGACUGAAAUCAUUCAAUUUCUUCAACAAUUUCAUCCACCUUCACAUACACUCGAGUCGCUGGCACCACCACCACCACCACCAUCGUCCCUCAUGCCCAGCUCGUGCUCGCCACCACCGCCGUCACUCCUCACUUUCUUCAAACACUGAUGUUGCUUUGGGGUUUUUUGCUUUGGGGUUGUCGACGAAAAGAAUGUUUCAUGGGGUUUGCGGAUACUGAUUUAUCACCAACAUUUUCUUUUUUCUCAAAAUGUGAAGCUGUGAGCAUCAAACAUGUUUGUUAAUUUUCAGAUUCUUUUCAUGGGUUGUCUUGGUCCAUGGACGAGAGAUCGUUGAAAGAUGCGUUUUCUUCCUUUGGGGAGGUUACUGAAGGUAAUCGUGCAUGUUGAGCUUAACCCUUUGAUUUACCAGUUGUAGUCUACGUGUUCGACGAAAUGUCUAGUUGAUUUCAGACCUCAGUUCAUCACGUGUGCUUCUGGGUCGAAACAUUUUGCUUCCUUGACUUUCAUAAUUCCAAGCUAUGGCAGAGCCAAACAAAGAUAUUCUGACAGUGGAAAGAAGGACUUGAGUCCUAGUCUUCAUCUUGCUUCAGCAGCGGAAGCUGGAGCUUUGGUUUGUUUUUGCACAAAUCCAGUUUGGCUUGUGAAAACAAGAAUGCAGCUUCAGAGUCCUCUUCAUCAAGCUCAACCUUAUUCUGGGCUAUAUGGUCUGCCUUCUGUCUUUCAUUCAAUUAAUAAUAAUGUGUUCUUUGGGAUAUACCUUAUCCUAGUAAGUUAUAAGAUCAUAUGAUUUGUACUUCAGUUAAAUUUCAAUAUUUUAUCCACCCCCAUCCCCCCUCUCUCUCUCACAUACACACACACUCGAACACACAAACACAGUUGUUUUGUCAGCCAUUUUUACCUUGAUAUUUAGACUUGUCAAGGAUUAAAGGCUUUUAUGUAAACAUGAAAAAACAAAAAUUAAUUCAUCAACAAGAGAAAAGAAUAAAAAUAGGGAAACAAUAAGAAGGCCAAACCCUCUCAUUGAAAGAAGUUUACUUCAUCUAGAGACGGAGCUUGAAGAAUAGAUUUGUUUAUUUCCAAUGUCUCUCACUCUCUUUGAGGAUUCAUUAUGGAGUGGGAAAGAGUUCGUACGUUUGUCAUAAAAAGACAUUCUGUUUACACUAUUUCAUGGGAACAAUUCAUAGAUGUGUUUUGUUGCUACAGCAGGUUUCUCAUGGUGCCAUUCAAUUUACAGUCUAUGAAGAACUCCGUAAAGUUAUUGCCAACUCAAGGUCUAAAGGGACCAGAGUCGAUGCUCAAAGUUCCGGGGAAUUACUGAAUUCCGGUGAUUAUGCUGUUCUUGGAGGAACUUCUAAAAUUGCUGCCAUGCUUUUGACAUACCCAUUUCAAGUAAAUUGAAAUUUGCUUUGAUGCUGUGAACUGUGGUGUGGUUUUUAUAGUCAUUUUUCUUAGCUGAUUCUUGAGUGACUUGGUUUCAGGUUAUUUGAGCUCGGUUGCUACAGUUCAGGAAGAGGAAUGUCAAGCCCUUGCUGCAUUUGGUGCCUGUUUCCAAUAUUAAUAAUUGUUUGAAGAAGCAUUUUCGAGACCUUUAAAAUGUCGUGAUCUUUGAAUUUAUAUAAUUCUGUUUGGUUGCAGUUAAUUUUACAAGCGUGUUUUCAUUGUUGGUGGAAUCAGACUUGAAUAAUAUGGGAUUUAUGUGCUUUAAGAUAUGAAUGGGAUUUAUUGUUGCUUUAAGAUA